rnacentral:lncRNA from 1 species
GUACCUAUUCCACCGUCAAUCCUGCACCCUCUAUAAUGAUUUUGGUUUAAAUAACCGCAAAAUUAUUAAAAUCCGGUGUCAAGAAAUGGCGGAAAUUAGAAUGCAAAAUCGUCACAUACCUUAUCCCCGUGUAUUACAAGUUCGUCUGUCUCAUGUGCUUGCUCUGAUAGCACUCGCAUCUGUUCUCCCACGUUCAGCGGCUCAAUUGUAUAUAAACCUCGACGGUUUCCAAGGAGCGCGUCAAUCAUCCCCGUGGGAAUGCGUGUGUCCAGAGUGUCCAUCCAACUCCGGUGAUGCCCCUCCCAACACGAAUGACCUCCCGACCGACCCAUCCGAAUCCCCGGCCAAUUCUCUGCCCGACGGCGAGCACCCUCCACUGAACACCUACACAGCACCCGCGAUGGGGCCUCCGGAGCUGACUGCAGACAUCGACGAAAGCGCCAGACAGAGGAACAACUCGCUUCUCUGCGAGUGCAAUUUCAGGCCGAUUGAGGUUUUGUACCUCCUGGCUGACAAGGCCAGAGGCAUGAAAAGGUCACCGAAAGGAUUCCAAAAUGACCUCAAUACCCUCGUGUCUACGUCGGGUGCCUCGGAGGCUGAUGAUAUGAAUAAACCCAUCUCGCCGAGCAGACCCAGAGGUAAUCAGGGAAGUGCCGAAGAUCAGCCCGGUCAGAAUGCCGAAGAUGGAAACGCUCCGGCCCAAUCGAAUCCUUCAUCGGCGCCGGUAGAUCCUGCAGAGAAGGAAAGGCAGCGGCAAUUGGCGCGGGCCUACAACGUGACCCCGCACUGCAACGGGCCCAACUCGGUGACCCCGACCCGGCUGAAGAUGAUGUUCCCCGACAAGGCGGACAUGGGCCAGCGGAAAGAUCCCUCGAGCAAGCCCUCCAUGGUCCAAGUCAAAACCGAACCGGUUCGACCCGCACAACCGCGAACCACCACCACCCCCGCUCCGCAGAAACCACUAGCCAUCCCUGCCCUUGUCACUAAACCGGAGUUCGGCGGCCUCAUCCCUCAGACAGGACUUCCGGCGGAAACGAAGAGAAAAAUAAUAGCUGUACAUUUGGCAACCAUGCCGCAUGAUCGAAGAGUCCCGUUCCCUGUGGUGUGCAUCGUCCUUAAGUUGAGGAUGGAAAAGAGUCUCGUGCCGACAGCAAGAAGGCAAGUUCCUUAAGUAUAAUGACGUCAUCGAUAAUAAUGGGCAGCUGAAGGGGAUCUCCAGACGUUGCAUGAUCAUGUGAUCGAUGGGCUUCCUUCAGAUGAUCCCGUGGCAGAUAUUCGGACUAUGGUGAUGUGUCAAAAACUGCCAAUGGAGAUGUUGCAUGUGUGAGGAUUUGCGAUUUGACCAUUGAUUCUUAUGUAGAAGAUCGCGAGAAACACGAUGGUGCCACUGGUUUUCUCUGAAAUC